rnacentral:rRNA from 1 species
GCCUCAGUACGGCGAGUGAGCGGCAAAGCUCAAUUUGAAUCUAGUACCUUCGGUGCUCGAGUUGUAAUUUGAAGGUAGUUUUCUGGUGCUGGCCCUUGUCUAUGUUCCUUGGAACAGGACGUCAUAGAGGGUGAGAAUCCCGUCUGAUGGGGUGUCCAGUGCUUUGUAGAUUUCUACCGAAGAGUCGAGUUGUUUGGGAAUGCAGCUCUAAGUGGGUGGUAAAUUCCAUCUAAAGCUAAAUACUGGCGAGAGACCGAUAGCGAACAAGUACAGUGAUGGAAAGAUGAAAAGAACUUUGAAAAGAGAGUGAAAAAGUACGUGAAAUUGUUGAAAGGGAAGGGUAUUGGAUCAGACUUGGUGUCUUGUGAUUAUCUUCCCUUCUUGGGUUGUGCACUCGCAUUUCA